AUUGAACGCUGGCGGAAUGCUUUUCACAUGCAAGUCGAACGGCAGCACGGACUUCGGUCUGGUGGCGAGUGGCGAACGGGUGAGUAAUGUAUCGGAACGUGCCCAGUCGUGGGGGAUAACGUAGUGAAAAUUACGCUAAUACCCCAUACGAUCUAGGGAAGAAAGCGGGGGAUCGCAAGACCUCGCGCGAUUGGAGCGGCCGAUAUCAGAUUAGGUAGUUGGUGGGGUAAAGGCGCACCAAGCCAACGAUCUGUAGCUGGUCUGAGAGGACGACCAGCCACACUGGAACUGAGACACGGUCCAGACUCCCACGGGAGGCAGCAGUGGGGAAUUUUGGACAAUGGGCGAAAGCCUGAUCCAGCCAUUCCGCGUGCAGGAUGAAGGCCCUCGGGUUGUAAACUGCUUUUGUACAGAACGAAAAGGUUUCUACUAAUACUAGGAGCUCAUGACGGUACUGUAAGAAUAAGCACCGGCUAACUACGUGCCAGCCGCCGCAGUAA
rnacentral:rRNA from 1 species